rnacentral:lncRNA from 1 species
GCCCAGCGAGCACUUAUAUGGGCCGCGGCUGGACUUUACAGGACGAUAUUUUUGGAAGGAGACAAUGUUCUUCGCAUGUUCUUCUUCUUUAUCAUUCUCAUAAUCUUUGUUAACACAAUGAGAUAGAGAGAAGGAGAUAAGUGUGGGGUGAGAGAUUAGAUGAUAAUAUUUCUUUUUGCAUGAAAAAUAACAGGUCAUGCAAGAAAGAUGGGGUGAGGGGAUUAAUGGUGAAGGGGAGUAGAUUGGUGUUACAAAGUUCAUUAAUUGAUGAAAUAUAAUGUAUGUAAUUAAAUGUGGAGAGGUGAAGGGUUGAGCAUUUAGAAGUGGAGAUUAAUGGUGGAGGGGAAUGGAUUGGAAUUACAAAGCUCACUAAUUGAUAGAAUAUGAUGCAUGCAAUUAAAUAUGGAGAGAUGAAGGGUUUAGCAUAGCAUUUAGAAGUGAGGAUUAAUAGUGGAGGGGAAUGGAUUGGAGUUACAAAGUUCACUAAUUGGUGAAAUAUAAUGUAUGUAAUUAAAUAUGGAGAGGUGAAGGGUUACGCAUUUAGAAGUGGAGAAGAAACAUAAAUUUCAUAUUGGGGAUUUAUACAAGAGAUAAAUAUUAUCUAUUAACCUAGGAAUGAAGGGAUUCUUGCCACGUGGCAAGAAAUAUUGUGGAUUCAUUAUGUUUAAUAUAUAUAUAUAUAUAUUUAUAAUAUAUAUAUAUAAUAUAUAUAUUAGGGGUGGAACGAGCCGAGCUCGGCGAGCUUACUCGGUCAAAUUCGGCUUGAAAUUAAUUUCGAGCCUAAAUUUAAGCUCAAGCUUGGAUUAAUUAAUUCGAGCCGAGCUCGAGCGAGCCUAAUUUCGAGUCGAGCGAGCUCGAACCUAAACGAAGCCGCUUGAAAUUCUAACAUCAUACGAUAAUAGUUAAUUAUAUAGAACUUAUCUAUAUUUGAUACAAAAUAUGUCUAAUAGUUCAAAAUAUAAAAUAAUUAUAUAAAUAUAGUAUUAUAAUAUGAAGAAAAAAAUUUAUGAGUUUAUAAUUCUAAUCUUUUCAACCUCACAUGUCUUUUCUUCCGCCUUCAAUCUCCAUAUUUUCAUUUUAUUUAUGCAGUCAAAAAUAAAUAAUUUAUAUAGAUAAAUAUUGGAUUAAAUUAUCCAAUCAUAUAUAACUAAAAUUAAAAUUUUAUAUGAAUAAUAAUUUUUACUUUUAAAAAUAUUCGGGAUAUUUUUCAAGUAUACAAUUAAUAGCAAGAUAGGCAACGGCAGGCAUAUGCUGCUACUUGGAACUUGGAGGGCUUCGGCUUGGCCAAAUAGGGUGAGAGACAGAAAAGAGAAAGAGAGAACACAUUGAAAAUUUAAAGCUCUAUGAAGAAAGAAAGAAAGGAAAAAUGUAUAAAUUUAGUAAAUUUUGCUUUUUAUUUGUUAUUGGGUUUAUUUUUAUGGGCCAACAAUAUGGCCCAAUUUUAACUAAAUUCAGAUUAUUCACUCAGCUAUAGAUAAUUAAAUAUAUUAUAUUUUAUAUUAUAUAUAUUAUAUAUAUAUAUAUAUAUAUAUAUUAUAUAUAUAUAUAGUGUAGAACUACUAUGUUAUCGAAAAUAUAGAGGAUUUGAUGUUUUCGAAUUUUGACCCUUUGAUUAAGAAUUGUAUGAUUGGGAUGAUUGCGGUCCCCGUAGGAUUAAAUAAUAUCCCUAGAAUUGAGUGGUCCCUACAAUAUAAUAUAGUAUUAAUUCAAAGAAUGAUUAGUUGAUCUAAAAAUCAAAAAAUCGAAAGCAUCAGAUCCUCUAUACUUUAUGUUAUCGAAAAUAUAGAAGAUUUGAUGUUUCAUUUUUGACCUUUGAUUAAGAAUUGUAUGGUUGGGAUGAUUGCGGCCCCCUUAGGAUUAAAUAUAUUCUUAGAAUUGAGUGGUCCUACAAGAUAAUAAUAGUAUUAUUCAAAGAAAUAUAGGGUGAUCUAAAAAUUAAAAAAUGGAAAGCACCAGUUCUCUAUACUUUUGAUAGACAUAUAUAUAUAUAUAUAUAUAUAUUAUAUAUAUAUAUAUAUUAUAUAUAUUUCGAGCUUUUGAGCUUUUCGAGCCUAAUUCGAACGGCGAGUAAUACUCAAGCUCAGCUUGAAUGAAUUUCGAGCUUUUUUUUUUGUUCAAGCUCGGCUCAUUUAAUUUCGAGUCGAGCUUGAGCGAGCCAAUAUCGCAGUCGAAACGCGAGUCGAACGUUGAGCCGGCUCCGCGCAUUUGCGCGCCCUAUUAUUAUAUAUUAUAUAUAUAUAUAUAAAAUGGUAAAAUUAAUUCAUGCUCGGAUUCAAAUUGGAUACGGACAAAAUAUAUUGUUUUUAUUUAUACAGGCAAACCCUUUUUCCUUUUCUGUCAGCCCUGGCUCCCUCGGUCGAGCAGCAGCACAAUCACAGAGGGUAGGGACUAGUACCAGACUGGACUUGGGAGAUGGAAGAAGAGCUCCUGAAGCUUCCUCCGACGAUCCCGGAGGAGUCGCUGGCGCAAGUGCUGGAGUCUCUGUGGAGGACCCGCGAAACCGGGCUCGCCUCGCCCGACAAGUCCCGCAUCCAAUCCCUCCUCAACCUCCCCACGCCCCAACACCUCGGCCCCGUAACCCCCCUCUCCCCCAACCCCCCUCUCUCUCUCUCUCUAAGAAUCCCCAAUUCCUCGUGUUCUCAUUGAUUGCUUGAGAAAUGUACGGGCAUGAUCCAAAUUCGAGCAUGCGAACUUAAUAUCUUUGAUGGCUUUGAUGGCGGAGGUGCUUGUAGUGUCUUUAUGAUGUUUCUCUUUGUGCUCUUCGCUCUUUAAUGAAUGUGCAUAGGGAAUUAUAAGCCUAUAUCUUAAUUUGGAAAAAAAGAAGAAGAAGAAAAGUAGCAUAUUUUUUCACCAUCAUGCAAUCCUUUGAUAUGUUAGCUGAUGUUGGAACUUAAAAUUUUAGGUUUUAGCGUGCCUUCGCUCUAUCAUCAGGAAGUGUGUGAACGAAAAGCUCGCAGGAGAGAAUAUCCAGAAUGUAUUACCUCAUGAUCUUCCUGCGGAACUCAGAAAUGUUCUUGUCUUGCUACUUCAGAAAUAUCAGAAUCAAUGGAUGGCGGAAGCGACAAAGGACCAGGUGUUUUAUCGAGAUUAUUUUUCGGAGGUUUCUUUGCGGCGCACAAUGUUUAAAUUGUUAAUGAUUGGGUCCCAAACCUUUGUAUUCUGAUGCAAUCUAAUCAUUUUUCUUCGUGUGUCUCGGUUGAAUUGGAGAGAAAUGCGCUUGUAUUGUCUAUUGUUAAAUUAUACGAAAGUGUCGUUUUUCUCCAAAAGCUUAAGAUACUAAAUAUUCAUCACUCUCCCUCACGUCUGGGCUCGUGACUUUUUAAUAGAACCAGGAGGUGAACUUGAAUUAAACGGAAGGAAAUUAAAUAACGCUAGGACCCUGGCGGGACUCAAACUCCAGACCUGUUGUUCUUAUAUUACAUUAAAUUAUGCGAAACAACCGUUUUCCUUCAAAAGUUUAAGCUGCUAGAGAACGGUGUUUUUAAUUUUGGGGCUCUUAUAUGACAAGUAGAUGAGGUGGAAAUUUCUCUCCAAUUUUGUGGAGGAUAUAUGAUUGUGGCAAAACAUAUGGGUUUAGGACCCCAAUUGUAACAAAUUGAAAGGUCGGGGACCAUACUGGAACUUUAAGGACCAAGAAGACAUAGAAAGCAUUUCUUAGAUGAUAAUUUCUUUCUUAACAACUUACUGUACUGUUCUAUUUCAAGAAUUUUGUGUAUUCUGGUUUUCCCAGCCUCUUUGGCAGAAAACACGGGUGUCAGAUCAAGUUAAAAUCAACAGACUGCCUCCUUUUGCAUCCUCUACAGCAUCGGAACUAUCAUCGUUACUUUGGCCGAGGGAAGAUGAUGCAACCGCUUACCCUAAGAGCAGUAAUACUGCGAGCAAUGUUGUAGCCAAUCUUCCAAGCUUGUCUUCAACGCCACAUAAUCAAGAUCAUGGUUCCCUGGACGGACUGGUAAAUGAUUAAAAAAUUGAUUUAACGAUACAAGUAAUUGAUGAUCGCUUCUGUAAUUUUGUGGUUCAUGAAAAUGAACAUGAUUUGUCCUUUUUGUGUGUUUUGAUGCAGUUUGUAGUGAUAUCAGUCCGAGUAGUAUCAAUUAACAGAGUAAUUUUAUGCAGUUUGUAGUGAUAUCAGUCCGAGUAGUAUCAAUUAACAGAGUAAUUUGAUGCAGUUUGUAGUGAUAUCAGUCCGAGUAGUAUCAAUUAACAGAGUAAUCUGAACACUCGCCAGCUAUUAGUAUCACAUUGGUGGCAUUCAUUUUAUAUAAGUCUCAGUGCGGCCGCAAGUUUUUUACGAGACAAAUGUUUUGCAUAGCACAAGUAAAAAGAAACCACUAUUUUGUUAACUAUUAGAUGGUUCCUUCUGUUUUACGUAAGAAUAUAAAGAUUGCUCGUGCACCUGCCCGUCCUUCAAACAGAAGCAAAAGAAACAUGAUAUCUACUCUUUGCCAUAAACUGAAGGUUACGAAGCAAGUUUACUACUACAUAAGUUGAGUUCGUUUUUCUUUUUUCACAUACAUACACCUCGGUAAAUGAUUAUGUAUACUCUAGAUUCUACCUCUUCUAAAUGGAUGUUAUCAUUAGCCAUUGGUGCUGCAUGUGUAUUUCAAAGUUUUAUUAUGUGCAAAGUUUGUAGUUUUGAAGUGAUAUCAUUUUAUUUUAGAAAAAAAUUAACAGAUAUAUGUAGACAAACAUUUUGUUUCAGGCAACUUGCAAAAUUUAUUUCUAUGGUGUACGUUAAAAAUAAUUCCAUCUAGCAUCUGUAGGCACUUUUUGCUAACACUAAGUAGUGCAUUGUGUUUUGGGUUGAGUUAAAAAAAAAAAAACUUGUUUACAACAAAAAGUUCCACGGACAUUAAUCUCAGUAUUUCCUACAAUAAUUUAAAUAGGCACUUAGGCAGAUUCCCAAGCCUAUCAAGCUCUAUAUCAAAGCAGCCUAUAAUGGCAUGAAAUCUACUGCUGAAUCAUUUGCUAGGAACAGCUAUUUUUGUUAUACUUGGAGAAUUUAUUUAUGCUUUAUGGAAAUAAUGCAGACAACUCUUCCACGCCUCAAGUCAAUGACGUGGACCAUGGAGAAAAGAAAUUCAGCACCAGCAAAUCGCUUGGCUAUCAUUACACUGAAGGUCCUGUUCUUGUUAUCUUGAACCUUAUUCUGACUUGGGUGUACCUUAAACCCUGUUUCUUUUUUUCUUCAGUUUGAGUUUGAUAUCUUGUCAUGAUUUCAAAGAGACGCAAAUGCUUCAGAAAUCUGUGUACAUAUUGGAAAUUUUUCUGUACUCUACUAGGUGAAGAUGCUCCAUAUAGAUAUGGAAACUACGAUUAGUUUCUGGAUACGCGUAAAUGUAAGAAACAGCUCAAAUAGUUUGAUUAGGGAGGAUGAUUAAAUUCCACGGCUUGUGGCUACAAUAAAAAAAGCUUUUUGAGUGGUCCUUUCAAGAGGAAAAAAAUUUCAUUGCACCUCUUAGUGUGCCUAGCGAAUUCUUCUGUUGCUGAUUUUGACCUUGUAAUAUUUGACACGGGGUGCUUACUUUGUUCUUCUUUCUUACAUGGCUCUGUCCAUUACUUAUAAAUUGAUAGCUUGUGAAACUUGCAGGAACAACAUGGUCGUUUCCAUCUUUUGAAUAUAUCUAACUCCUUUGCCCUUGUCUUUGUAUUUGCAGCUCCAAGAUUAUUCAAAGUCUUCCUCUGGGGAAAUAGAGGUGAAGUUUCAGCUUUCGAAAGACUCACUCGAAGCUAUGUUAAGAUCGAUGACACAUCUCACCGAACUGCUCUCGAAUUCUGUAUGACCUUAACUCAAUCUUAGAACAUCAUUUUAUUUUGAUGAAACUAUAUUUUAUCUUAUGUUUAUUCUUGUAAGUCAUUUAUUUUUUAUUUUUUAUUAAAGUAGAAGAUGAAGUGCCUUUACAUGGUUGAACUUCUGCUGAUUUCCUACAAAAGAAGCUUCAAGUUUCUUGCUAUCAGGGACAGUGCAAUUUGUUCUUAGCGAGAAAUUUUACUUUUGCAUUAUAUCAUCAACAUGUGCUCCAUUAGACUGCUGCUCUAUUUAAAAGAAAAGGAGAUUUGAAGAUUGAAAGUUUAGACACUCGUUUAGUGCACACUACAGCGGUAAAACUAUUAGGAUCAAGUUGAAAACUUGAAGUAGGUUCCUUUACUUGCCCCUCAAAUUUGUUAUACUUAGAUGGAAUAGGUUCAUGAAGCUCUGCCCCUUGGGCAACCUUUAUUUUCUUUUCAAGUUGCACUAAGAAAUCCCAUAUAAAAUACGUUGCCAUCCAUCCACAUGUAUUAAUUGUCUCCAGAUAAUUUAAUGCAAAUUCAAUGUGAUUUGCGACAUUUCCAUAUAUAAAAGUAAAUAUAAGGUUGUUUAUUUGUUUGACAUCUAACGGGACAAAAAUAGUGCAAAUUCACCCAGAUUUAUUUUUAUUUUACAAGCUCUGUACAUUUUAAGAUUUUGAAUUUUCUUUUUAUGACCUUGCUAUUUGCUGGUAGGCCGCAUCACCAUUGGAACCAUCGGCAAAGAAGCAGAAACAGUGACUGAAUGCUGGACUGUUCAUCCUUCGGGAUCUUGACGGUUCUUUCUAUCACCGAAACAAUACUUUCAUUUUUUGAAAGAAGAAUCGAGAAUUAAACAUCCUGACCAAUGUCGACAGCACUAUGAAAACUAGCUAGGAUUUUGUAUUUGGUUCAUUAGAUGACUUAGCUGCUGCAAAGCAAGAUCAUAAUGCUUUAAGGAUGUGCUUGUUAAGAUCACACCAUUGUAACAUCUGAAAUAUUUUCUGGGUUCCAAUUAAAAUAAUUUCUUUCUGAAAAUCCUUUGGUUUCUUUGGCUUGUUGGACUUUUUUUUUUUUUUUUUUUUUUUUUUUGUUUUUGGGCUCGAGCUAUAUCAAGCCUGUUUUGUGCAUGAAUUGCAGAUGGAUGGAUUACAGAUAAGUACUCCAAAACUUUCCCUGAUGAAUAAUCUGUCAUUAACUGAACAUGCUGAGACAUUUUUGUUAACUUCAUGCUCCUUUCAGGUAAAAAGGCAACCGAAAAAUUACCAACUCCUUUUUGAAUACAAUAUACAUUGGUCCUCUUCCUACAGUAAAUUUCUGGAUUAGAAACUUGAAAAUUAAUUGAUGUAGCACUGCUGUGCAUAGUGCUUUAUAACAUAAAAGUAGCAUUAAAGAUUUGUAACGUAUCUUCGAUUCGUGCAGUCUUAUAUAUGAGAGCUUCCUACAUUACUCUUAGCUCUCAGAACCAAGACACAGGCUAAGUUUCUCAUAAUUAUCAUUUUUCAGCUGAGAUAAAAGGAUUGCAGAGAAUGAGCGAGCUAAAUUGGUCGCAGGGACGACAGGACAACAUCCUGAAGAGAGCUAUCUCUCAGCAUGGCGGCUUUGAACUCGUCGAAGGUGACCUUCCCAUCAUUGUUUGCGUCCAUCUGAUCGAAUAUCUCAUCCAGCUUUCCUGGCUCAGUUAUAUCAGCCGGAAGACAAUCCUCGGGCAACGCCUGCAACAUACAUCACCGUUUUGCUUGAUUUAAUAGAAAUUUUGGAGUAUGUUGUAGAGAAAGGAUAAAAGAAAUAGUGGGGAAAGUUUACUCGAAGCAUCGACGCCAAUUCUUCCUUACUGAUGGACCCUGAUCUGUCCGUGUCAUACAUCUGAGCACAUAAUGAGGGGUCAGAUACAUCGGAAAAAAGCUGAACAAGCAUGGAUUGCUCUAGAACAAUCUUAUUUAGGGGUAAAUUAUAUGGAUAGUGCCUCUCUAUCCCAAUAUAAUGACUUAGUUCGUGAACUUUCCAUUUAAAUACUUUUAAGUUCUGGAACUGCUUUAUGUAUAGCAAUUUCAUAAUUGGCCACUAAAGGAAAAAAAAAAAAAGGAAAAAGAAAAGGAAAAACAUGAUUUUAACGGUUAGGAAUGAAAUUGCAAUAUAUGAGAAGGUUCAGGGACUAAAAAAUUUUUAAGUAAAAGGUUCUGGUACUAGCUCGCCAUAUACGGAUAGUAUUGGGAUAAUCCAUGCACCUAAUCCUUAAUGACUACAAAAUAAAUAUUACUUGUAGUAAGUUUCAUAGCUUUCAUUUUAUUCAUGGCUUAGCAUGGACUGAAUCACUGAAUCAUUUUUGUGUCCCACAGGUUCUCUCCUGAACCAUUUUCUACCGACCUCCUUGAAUCAAAAUCAAAUGCAAGGAGAAAAAGAAUAUUAAUCCGAGCUGACCUGAAAGCAGAGUUGGAGAGCGUCAUCUCCUCGCGAAUUUCUGAGACUGGAUAGCCCACACAGAAUCUCCCUCAUGUCCACGGUUCCAUCGCGGUUGUUGUCAAAUAAAUCAAACACGCGAGGAGCCAGAGGAAUAAGUGAAUCCAUUUUCAUUGCUUUCAGUACUUGCUCAAACUCGCUCAGUGUAGCAUUCUCCCCGUUCGAACAUCUGCACUUGGGAGUAUUCAGUUUUCUGAAUCUGGACAGAUUCUUUAUUGACUACAUAAGCUUUCUCUAGCUCAUUAUUAUAGUGUUCUAGUAGUUGAAAGACUCACAUUCGUCUGAAGUGCAACCGCAGUUUCUCUAGUUCCUCUUGUGUGAGAUCAUGGGAUCCAAGCAAACUCUUCAAUUUCCUUGUUCUCAGUGUGACCUUGCUGCUCAACACACUGGCUAUCGCAGCUGCGCGCAGUUUUCUCCGCGCGUUGAAGCUUUGCAGUUUGGAAACGACCUCUGCAUCCAUGAGAUCUUGCUUUGCCGAGUCUCCUAUCACCCAAGGAUGCUUUAGAAGCUGUUUCCAUACAAAGUUAUAGAACUAUCAAACUUCGGCACUAGUUUAAAGAAAAGGUAUUUCCAGAUAUAUCCUUGCAGAAUUUUCUCUUACAUAACAAUCCCUGCAAAAACUGAAUUUUGAUAUUUGUUUUUCAAAAAACUCGAUUUCCUAUACAUGUAUACCCUUGUACUUACUAAAGUCGCAUUCUUUAUAAAGCUAUUUCCAAUCGAAGACCAACUUUCGCCAUGACUUGGAUGAUUCUCCAGGUUACUGUAGUGAUAUUUUUGUAAUGGGUAUACAGUGAAAAUCAUAUUUAGGACAUACAUACAAAUAACAGAAGAAAGUGCAAAACAUACAUCAUCAGCUGUCGGUCUUUUAUACGGCUCGACAGACAGAAGGCUGGAAAUCAAGUCCUUUGCAGAUGAAGUUACAGUCUUCCAUGUUUGAUCCUCAAAGCUGUAUUCACCCUGGAGAGGAAGAAUGUCUCAAGUGAGUUUGGAAAUCCGGAAUCAUAGUGAGCACAUUCCAGUAUGAAGACAAGUGUGUUAUGUUAUACCGAAGCGAAUUUAAGUGGAAUAGCAUAUUUGGUUUGCGAGAUAUCACAUCCAGUAAUUGUAUAAUUUGUACUCUGAUACCAUCUAUCAAUGAUUCCUAUAUAUGUGGCUUGUGAAUUGAAUUCGGCCUGGUACAACAUUGACUUUGUUUUCUCAUUGCCUCAAAUAACUCUCUCAUUUUUCUUGUUAAACCAAUUAUUACCUUAGUAGUGUGUUACAUUUAUGAAAUUCUUUUCUAGAAAUCCCAUGUCUCAAGGAAAUAUAAGAGCUGAAUCCUUUUCUUUCUGAAGCACUGGACACAAUAUCAGGGCCUAUUUCGAUAGCACGCCGAAUGCUGUUUUACAAUUCCUUACAGUUGGUAGUGCUUGGCUGCUCAAAGGAAAGAUUGAUAGAAGAACAAUAAUUGAUUUAUGUCAAUCCAUAAACAGCUAAAACUGCAGUAACUUAAGCUUCUUAGUAGGUAAAAGCCUUUUCUCUGUUACAUUGUAAGUUGAACUAUGACCAACAGAAUGGACUCAGAAAAUGCCAGAUGAAGAACUACUGAUGAACUUACAGCUAAAAUCCUCUGCUGCUUGUCCCGAUUUGUCGGUGCAUGAAAUGGAGGGCACCUGAAACAUUAAUGAGGAAACAAGAAUGAAAAGUUGAAAGAGGCAGCAGCAGCACUCCAAGAAAACUAACUGCAGAACCACAGCAUUACCCAGAUAGAAGGAUGUAAAGAAUCACCCCAAGAGACCACAUAUCACUCGCAGACGACACCUCGCGCCGCGACAGAGCUUCAGGCGAGACGUAAUCAAUCGAUCCAAACAACGCAACAAUCGGAUCGGUGAAAUCCUCUACCGAACUCAGCCCAAAGUCCAUGAUCUUAAGAGGAGAGCGCGAUCCGCUGUCCGAGAACAAGCAAUUCUCGGGCUUUAGAUCGCGAUGAACGAUGUUUGCUCUAUGAAGAGCCGCGAGGCCAUUCGCAAUUUGGUGGACUACCACCGCAGCUUCGAACUCCGAGUAGCGCGGUUGAGCGACUAUCCGGUCGAAGAGCUCCCCGCCGGAGCAAAGCUCCAGCACGAGGUGAACUCCGCUGCCGUCUUCAUAGACAUCAUAGAGGUUGAUCACAUUAGGAUGAGGGGAAACAUUCUCUACAAUCUUCCUCAUGACCAGGAUUUCAUUCGUCAGCAAGGCGUCGGAUAUCGAGACUUGCUUCCACAUGUUCAGUGCCGCAGCAGCCGCGAUGCCCUUCUGAACUCCCGGCGGUGCGAAUCCGAAUCUGCGCAGGGUUUUAAUGGCAACAUCAGUCUUCUGCUCACCAGAUUUGCUGAAACCUCUUCUGACAACAGAGAAGCCGCCUCGGCCGAGAAUGUCAGAGACUUCAUAAUCAUCAGACAGCUUUCUAAUCCCCUGCCUCGACAUUUACUACUCGAAUAUCUGGCGCUGAAUAUUAAUCAAAUGCAAUCGAAAAUUAGAUUACAGUAGUAGAACAAAAAUUCAUCUGUCUCCUCAACUAAUUAAGACCCCAAAUGCUUUGCAAAAUUGAUGAGGAGGACACAGCAAUGAUUGGGCCCAGAAGAGACAAAUGCCAAAGUACAAGUAGAAACUGAUAUUGGGGAAGGAGUAAUAAGGAAUAUAAGAAAAAAAUAUGUAUAUAUAUAUAAAUAUAAAAAUACCCAUUGGCAAUUGUUGGAUUGUUUAAGAACAAAAUAUGGAGGGUAGAGAAAGGGAGGCAAAUGGGGGAUUAAAGAAAUGGAGAAAUUGGGGGAGGGUUUGGUGGAGUUAGUGCCUGUUUGUUUUCUUUUAAAAGAGAUGCCAGAGUAAUGGAUUAACUCGUAACUUCGAAAAAGUUGCAACAUUUGUUUCAACACCAAAAUCACAAAAUCAUUCAAACUUUUUUUAACAAAUGGGCUUAAUAAAUUUAUAUUUGCAUCAAUAGUCUCUUCUUAUCAUACGAGCACUUAGGUGGUGUUUUUAAAUGAAAUACUACACGGUGACGUGUUCUUUUCUAUAUUUUUUAUUCUCUCUAAAUAAAAAAAAAAAAGUUAAAAUAUGGAUAUAAACACAAUGAUACAAUCAUCGUGUUUAACUUAAAAUUGUCAAUUUUAUAGAUGUAUAAAAGGUAUUGGUCAAAUUUUAUAAAAGUUAACUACAAGAGGACAAUUUAUUUGUAAUAUAUCGAUUGGCGAUGACAUUAGUUUGGCUGCCGAAGGCAUUUCAUUAACUUUAAUGAUGGAGUGAAAACACAAAAAUACAAAAUUAAUUAGAAAAAAAUAAAUCGAAUGAAAUAAAAAAUUUCUAUCUGAUAUAUUUUCAAAUUUUGGUUCAAUUUGAUUUUUUUUGGUUUUAAUAAAUAUUAAUUUACCCAAUUUCAUUUAACAAGUUGAUUUCUUUUGUGGACUCUGUAAAUCAAGUAAUAUAUUAUUGUUAGAUAUUUGAUUUGAUGUAGUCACAUUCAUAAAUCAUAACCAUAUAUAUACAUCUAAUCAUAUAUAUCAGAAAGUGAGACAUAUCUACGUACAUACAUUACAUUACAUAUAUACAGAGUUGAGCUGAAAUACUAUCAGUAGCAAAUGGACUCCGUUGCCACCAAUUUAUUUUUGAUAAUGGAGCCUCCAAAUCGUCGAUCGGUAUCGUUGAACAUGAUCUAUAUCAUUUGAAAUAUCUAAAAAUCAAAUUUUAUGCUUUUCCGAUAUUAUUUUUUUGUCCAUCAAGUGGACACAAAAUGAACGGCUAAAAAUGAAUAUUCUUUAAAAAAUGAUGAUAGGAAUCUUGUAAUCAAGAUGGAGAAUAUAGAUCUUGUUCUAAAUAGUUUAAAGAAUUUUCUAGCCAAAAUUAAAUCGAUUUGAAUAUCUUUAAAAUGUUAAAUGAAAAAACGCCUCAUAUCGAUCAUUAAAAUUACAAAAUUUGAAACUCUUUGAUCAUUAGGUCAAUGAUGUCAAAAAGAUAUAAAAUUUAAUUUCUAAAUAUUUUAAGUGGUAUAGAUCAUGUUCAAUGAUACCAAUCAUUGAUUUGGAGGCUCCAUCAUCGAAAAUAAAUAGAUAGCAACGAGACUCGUUCAAUCGUUUGCUACUAAUAGUAUUCUAACUUAACUUCAUAUAUAUAUAUAUAUAUAUAGAGAGAGAGAGAGAGAGAGAGAGAGAGUUAAAGUCAUACUUUGAUUUCAUAAUUUAAAUUAAUUACCUUAAUUAAUUUUUAUAGUUACAAAAAUAAAAUAAAAUAUAUACUAAUUAAACCUAUAAAGGUCGACACAUUCAAACAUUAAAAUUUAAAUAGCCUUUGACUCACUUAAAUCAAAUAAAUUAAUAGAUUAAAUAACAAAAUCAAAAUUUUUAAAAUUUGGUUAGCUAAGUAAAAAUGAUAUACAUAAUUUAGAUAAAUUGUAUACAUUUUUACAAUAAAUUAAAUUAGUUUUAAUAAAAAAUAAAAAAAUUAUUAAAAUAUUAUAAAUUGUGAACCACAUGACCUCUUAAUGGUAGAGAGGAAUGUCAUAUAGCUCCAAAAAUGAAUAUAAACAUUCAAAAUAUAAAUAGGCUAAAUAUUUCAAUAAGCAAAAAUAAACCUUCUUACACAAAAAACUUUGGUGCAAAAUAAGUUUGUCAUUGAAUAUUUUAUUUCAACAUCCAUGCUUCCAAGCCUUAAUCUGAGCAAUUACUAACAAGGCAACCAAACAUAGCAGUGAUAACCCUUAGAAUCAAACACUCUUUUUUCGAGAAAACAUAAAAAACUAUUUUCCACACAAAAAAAAAAAAAAUCAUAAAAACAACACUUCUUUCACACUUUUUAUUUUCCGAACAGCAAAUUCCUAAAACAAAAACAUUACUUUUCAUAAAUUUUGAAAGAAAAAAAUUUCUACAAAUACUACUUUUCUUAAAAACCAAGUGGCCGAAAAAUACUUAGCAGACUACGGAAAGCUUAUUUAGAAAGCACAAAUCAUCUUAAAAAGCAGUAAUCUCAGAUUUAACUAACUUAGGCUUCCCUUUCAGGUGGUGUGGUUCCUCCACUAGCUAUUUGGAGAGUACAGAACAAGUUCGUCGAUUAAGAAACACCGAAUUUACGAAUAAAAACAACAAACACCUAAUAAAAGAGCACAUUGAUAUGAUAACCACAACAAAACGUCUACAACUGAAACUGUUGUCUUAAAACAGCAGUUCUGCCUCAAAAUUCUGCAGACAAAUACAAAAACCAGUAGCCAAGCAUACGAAUGAAUCUAGGCACAAACAACAUGCUAAAGUUCUUUGCUCACUGCUCACCAGGGAUGCUCUUGAGGAUGUCCGAGUCACCUGAAUGAUACAUUACACGACAGUAAGCCAUUAUCAUUCAGAUCGAGAUUAAUCUCGAUAUUGAUAUCGGGAUCGAUGUAUAUAUGUAGAAAAGAGGGAGAGAGCAAAACCGGGGUCAAUAAUGCUGAGGCAGCAAACGCGGAAAUAUUUGCCACAAGCUGUUCCCAGAUCAACAUUGUCUGACCGACAAAACCAACAAAUUAACAAUUAACCAUAAACGGUGCGGCCUAAAAUGGAGGUGAUGUCGAAUUAAGAUAGGUACGAAGAUACAUAACUUAACCUAAACUGUGAACCAUUUUGAGUUGGCUACCCAACCAUUCAAAAUCUUAAUUUUCCUAUCCAACCUUUCAAUUUGUUUGAUUUGAGGCAUUUUGACUUCAAAUUUUGAAUGUGUUAUUUAUCUACUUCAUGCAAUUCUCGCAACUGUAAAUAAAUUAUAGUAAGUAAUUAGCUUAAACUUUAAAGUCAAAGUAUCGUUGACUGACUCACAUCAAACAAACUAAAAAGUUGGGUAGUAAAAUAAAAAUUUUGGAACGUUAGGUAGCCGAUUCAAAAUGGUCCAUAAUUCAAGUGGGUUCUGUACAUCUUUACCUCUUAGAUAAAAUGAGUACUACUACACACAAAUUUGCAAUUCCAAUACUUGUAUCUCAUUAAAAGAAAGAUUGGCAGUCAAUUUGAUGGAGAACAAACCAUAACUUUCAAUCAACAAAAAAACAAAGGAAGAAAAGAAAAAUGAAAGAGCGUGCUACGAACAACUAUAUCAAAAUGACAAAAAUCAACCAAAUAUAGUUAUAUAAGGAGAAAAUGAUAAGAUGCAUUAUAUGAGCUUAUCCACCUUCAUGAGUGAGCAAAGAUAGAAUGAAUACUUACUUCCAUUGAAGUGAUGUACGCCGACCUUCGCUAACAUUGCAUAGUACUCUAUCUCAGACUUUCGGAGUGGAGGGCAGUUGUUUGCAAUAAUUACCAAUUUCCCUGAAGAUAAUAGACACAAAUAAUUUUAACGAAGUUAAAAUUUAAAAAAUAUUGCAAAUAGUCUUCCCAAAAUGACUCUCUAACAAAACAAUCCAGUGGAAUAGAGUAAAGCACAUUAUGAAGACAUCAUUACCAUUAACUGACAACAAGUUGACAAGCUUAAGAAUUUUCAAAAUAUCCAACAAGUCAAAAAUACUAUGAGAAGCAUUGUAUUCAAAAUGGAAAACACUAACAUCAAACUUUAUGGAAAUGUGAGGGAUCUACUUUGCAAGGAAAGAUGAAUUUGAAUAAUAAAGGGGUAAGUCUUGGGGAGGUGCUGAAACCAAAAUCGGAUGUUUUCAUUUAUCCUGGUCAGACUUGGAUGUUUAGUUUAUACUGGCGCCACCAGAAACUCAGAUUAGAACCAAAUAGCUCAAUAUGAGUCAAAAUAGCCCACAAUAACGGCCGGUCUCAAGUACUAGCCAAAAUUGCCUAGCAGGAAAAGAAAUUACAAAAUUAAAAAAAUGCCAAAGAUCGUAUUUCUCUUCAUGCUUAAGGUCAAGGAAGGUCUUCACACUCUGAAUGCAGAGUUUUAAGUAGAAUAAGUCAAAACCUUUGCACCAAUUCGCAAAUUUUAUCAUACAUAUGGCAACUAAGAGGAAAAUAAUUUUUAUAAUUUUUAUUUUGUUAAUUUAACUUACAUUAUAAGAGCAGACAAUAAUAAGAACCUCAGGAAGUGUUUGAUAUUCACAUAAAGACAGUCUAACAUUACUUUGAUAAUCAGAGUAUUGACCCAGAGUAUACGACUUUUUCUGGCAAUAUGCCAGAACAAUCCAAGUAAUCUAUAUGACAACUCUUUGUACUCCUCUCCUCUCUUUUAAUGCACCUCUAUAGCAAUCAAAACCAAUUACAAAGAGAUUAACAGUGCUAUAAAACAAAUUUUGCUCAAUGUAAGCUGCAAUUAACUCAUGGCAUGUUGUGAUUUAUUAACCUAGGGAUGAACACAGUGACUGACAACAACAGUCAUACACUGUAAAAAAAGAUGUGGUUGUGAAAAAUCUAUCAAAUGGAUAACUGUGGAUCCCAAUCAUCGCAUACAAUUAGACACCAAGCAAACAACCUGCAGGCAAGUACAGAUACUGCAGCACUUCUUCCAAAAGAAAUAUUUUCCCUAUAUCCAAAAGUUAAGUGCCAUCAUUUAAGUGCACUACAGUCAUACUAUGCCAAAUCUCAAUUAUUGAUUAGCAUUUCUGUUAAGAACACGUCUCGAAAAAAUAAUUUAAUCAGUUAACUUAUGCGAUCAGAAAAUAUGUUGACAUAUUGUAACUUCCAUUUUCUUAAGCCUUCCACAAGCUGCAUCACGAGUAAUACCAUGCUCGCUCCCGGCGGCAGAUGUGAGUGCAAGCUGGAUGAUGGGAGCUAAAUAAUCAAGAGAUUUACAAAUCACGGGGAGAUGGAUCCUGCACAUUGCCCAAAGAAACCAAUCACUUCAAUCCAGAUUCUAAUCCAUGGAGUGGGCAUUGUGUUAUUCUUACUUCAUGUGUCAUCCACCAAACAUUACCCUAGAGAAAUAAAGAAUCUCUAGAUGAAUUACGGAGGUAGGUACGUUUAUAUAGGGAGCUGCAUUCAUCCCUAUGGCGUGAAAGAAAUAGCCAAAGAACCAAACUCCAGUCCCAACUACAAAGAAUCUUCUUGCAUUAAAAAUUUUCCGAAGAGAACUAGUAAGGCCUAAUUUAGGAUUUCUUUAAAGACCCCCCCAAAAAAAAUCCAACGCCACUUCUGAUCUCUGCUUAUCCCAUUCUGUGACAAGACGGCAGAAACCCCGACAGGACAUGCUUCUCUAGCAGGUGUUUCCGCCACCAUUUCAUAUCAUAUGCAAGUGGAAAUCUAAGGAGCUUUCAGGUUUUUUACGAUUCUAAAGCAUGAAAGCGCCAACAUUUCCAAGAGAUGCAAUCUUAAACAAGGCCACAAUAAUGCUCCAAACUCAAUCUCUCAACACGAAGCCCGUUUCCCCACAACUACACAUUGGAAUCAUCCCAAACAAUAAAUCCAUAAAACAACGUACAUCAACCAAACCCGAUCUACUGUUUCAAUCCCAUUUAUCCACAAUACACCAACCCACAUCAAUUUAGCAUAGAUAACACGAUUAGAAUGAUCCAACAGAAAAAGAAAAGAAGAAGAGAUAUAUCAAAAACCUUUGGAAGUACGGAGGGAUCUAAGGACCGUCUUGUACCCAAGCGUAUACUUCCCACUCUUCAUCACCAGGGCGAGCCUGUUGUUGAUGCUCUCGGUGCUCUUCUUCUACAUUUCGAUCAAAAAGCAACCAUUUUCACACCAAAAAAUCACCAAAAAAUGCUAGAGACGAAAUCAACGGAGCCAUGAUCGAUCCAAAUUUGGUUUUAAUGGUAGAAGAUGAUCGAUUAUUACCGUCUUCUUCACGGGCGCCAUUGGAGAAGCUCCGAGCAGAGGAGGCGGCGGCGAGAGGAGAUAGAAACCCUAGAGAAGUCCCAAAGAGCGUCAGCAAAUGGAAAACCCUCAUAAUAUAUAGAAAAUGGGCAACGAGGCAUAAUUACGAAAUUGCCCCUCUUCGAAUCAGUUGAUCCGGCGCGUUUGGUACUUGUCCAACGGCUACUGAUCAUCACUAGAAAGGUAAAAAUGUAUCAAGGCCCCUCAGAAAUAUACCAUUUCGAAACCAAGCCCAAAAUUUUAUUUUUUAUUUUAGUUCUGUAUUAGAUUUGUCACAGUUUCCAUUAUAUUUUAUAACUCUAAUUUUUCUAAACAUAAAAAAUCUCCUAUAUUACAUGCAUGCUAAAAAGUAUUGUAUAAUUAGUAGCUCGUAGUUGAUUGUAUUUUCUCAGCAAGUAUCUUAUAAAUUGUCAAACUAAUCGGAAAAGCAUUUGGACAUUUGAUCGUGCGGCAUUUCUAAUACUUUUUUUAAAUUCGUCUACACUUAGUGACAUAGUUAUUUUUCUCAUCUUUAAAGAAUUAGUACUUUUUCAGAAGAUUAUAAACUCAUUUAAGUUUAUGGUAUUUAUAAAAAAAAUUCUCGAAGUUUUCAAAAAAUUGAUCAUAUAUGCUCUAGCAAAGUUUCUUAUUUUUCAAUUUACUCUCCUUCACCUAAAAUUCAAAUUCAUCACACAAUCUGUUGAAAGCAAUCUGUGCAACAUCCACCUCGCUUGGAUGCUAUGUCCUCUUUAGAAAUUCAUCGCUUGAAUGCUAUGUCCUCUUUAGAAAUUUCUACAUCAUAGAGUCUCUUUUAGUAUUAGCAAUCAUUUGAUAUUUUGGAGUAGAAAUGGUAAAUUUUUUAUAAUGGGUAAUAUCAUAUGGUAUAGUUACUUGGCCUAUUUGUUGUAGAGAAAGGGACGGAGAAGAAGGAGAGUAGAAAAGAAAAAUGAGAGAAAAAAGGAGAGCAUAGUAAUAAUACACAAUGAUAGUUAUAAAUCGCAUUAUAAAUAAACGGUGUUGAAAAAGUUAAGCUCUAGUAUGGAGAUAAGAAAGGAGAAUCUCGAAAAAGAGACGAAACUAGGAUAUCAUGAUUGUGACUUAAUGAAAUGAUGGUAAUAAGAUAACUCGAAGAACCGAGAGAGAAGAGAUAGAAUGAAAAUAUAACUACAAUAAUGAGGUGAGAGAGAUUGAAUGGCAAAUUGAAAAGAGGAAGGAGAUGGAAUGAACAAGUAAUGAUAUUUAGUCAGGUGGACAUAUCUUCGUCAAAUUAAGAAAGAGUUUCAAUCGAUUAAGAAUUCACAUAUAAUUUAUGUGAAUAAAUAGUGAAACACCGUUACAUGACAAUACCGUAAUUUCACAUUUUCUUUGAAAUUGCUAUUAAAGAAAUAAAAAAUAUAUUUAAUUUUAACUUCUAAAUAUACUUAGGAUAGAAAGAUCUAUAAAAUAUAAACAAAUCAAUUUACUAUUAGGAAUCAAUUUGUUAGGUUUCCCAACCACCUUUCUCUGUAGCUUGGUAUGCAAAGAUUUUUUGUAUAUCUACUAACCGUUCCACUCAUUCGAAAUGCAAACCUCUAUCUCUAUUAUAUGGGAUGAUCUAACUAUUAACAUAAGAGCAAAACUCAAUAGAGAUAAAUUUUACUUUUCAAUAGAGAGUUGAUCUAAAAUAACAUAUAUAUCUAAUAUAUUCUUUUGAAAAUGUGCUCCCAUAAAUUAGCGAACAUACCAACUAAAUUACAAAGAAAAAGUUUCAAACCCUAGCUCAUCAAGAGAAAGUUUUAAACCCUAACUCAUCAACCGUAUUGAAUUUAUGUAAAAUAUAAAACAGUUCUAUAUAUUGCUUGAAGCUUUUAGAGUAAACAGUUGUUUCCAAUGAUAUACAAUUAGGAUGUUGAAAAUCCGCUCAGAGGUAAGAAAGAGUGUUAAAUACAAAAUAACUCUAUUAGCUUUAGCUUUUGUGAAACUCUAUUCAAACAGCCUUCAUCAACAACAAGACGGAUUUUGGUUUAAAAGCUUGCAUAAAUCAUUCAUAUCCAGAAUAUCCACAAUCCAUGCUUCUUACUCUCAAAAACUGAAAAGCUUUAUACAAUGAUUGCGAAAGACUAAAGAAGCAUUGAACACUAGAUUGGAUAAUGGUUCUACACACUGGUGAACACCCAAAAAUUGAUGCAAACACAGCAUAAAUCCAAACUGUUGAUACAUAUGGUGAUUCCAUUUUGCCCAAAAGAUGAAGCAGCCAAAAGGAAGCUAUAGAAUACCUAACAAUAAUAUAAGGAAGUUAAAAAAAGCUAGUAAGUGAACUAGCAAAUUCUAAGGUUAGCGCUUCCUUCGAUUAGAAGACCUUAGCGGUUGCGAUGGACAAACUGACGAAGUGUCUUGGGUCGCGUUUUCCACCGCCUCGUUUUUACAGCUUCUCAGCCUCUUCUUUGACAAAGAAGUAGAAGCUCCUCCUUGGCUUUUGGAUCCUUCCACUGCUUCAGCUUUUACAGAACUUCUCAGUCUCCUCCUUGUAGUGGGAUUAGGAGAAGCCGCCGGAUCUUCUUCGGGUUCGUUCGCAUCAUUUUCUUCUUCUUCGCACUCCAACUGGGGCCAUUCGGCGCCGCAACCCGGACAGGCUCUUGAACCCUAGGUUAGAGUUUUUUAAGAAACAAGUUUGUGUGAUUGAUGAGUGAUAUGAGAGAAAAGAAGGGAAUUACGAUAAGAGUUUUGUCAGUUACAAAAAAUGAUGAAUGAGAAAUGAGAUGGGAAGGAAUGUCCUGUGCUACCUUCCGCCGAGAAAAUUUCUGCUUUAAACAGUAAUCAUGGAUUCGAAUAUUGCAACCUUCAUUUGGACAUGUAGAGGCCUGUUUGACAAGCAAAGGUCAACACGGCAGUAAGGAUAACAGCAGAACACAUUGUAGUUCAAGCAUUUAUAGAACAUGGCACUCGCUUAAACAUGAUUCAAAUUUAAAUAGGCUCCACAAAGAAAAUGGAUCCAACAUCAAACCGUCUAGAUAUCGGCUAGUAAUUCCGCAGAACAGCAAAUUUAUUUCAUAAAAGUUAUCCACCUCUGUGUCACAGGUUGGCUCGCUCAAUAGAGCAACUCUCCAAAAUUCCCCUACACAUUCCAAUAAUUUUAGACAGGAGGAAGAUGUUUGUUCUUAUAACUUUUUAAGGAAGAUAGCACCACAUCAACAAUGGAGAUUUCGAAAUUUUUUAUUUCCCCUCCAUUAAAAUAAGUGUAUGAUUUAUAUAUAACCAUCCUUGUAAUAAUUGAUCGAGGUCAUAGCUGGUCAAUUUCUACCUACGAACCCCAGAAUUCAAGCUAUGAAGCAAUGUCCUCAUAAAUUCCAAAUUUCCACCUUUUAGUGUAAAAAAUCAGCGAAUGCAGCAAGUAGGUAGCUGCCUAGGGGGAAAAAAAAAAAUCAAGAACACAGACAUGAUCCAUAUUUUACUUGUGACUACUAGACUUGUUCCGACCAACCCCACGUUUUAACACAAGUAUCAACUUUUGGAACCAAGUGUGGGAAGGAAAAAGAUAAAUACUGAUUUGGCCUUUAAAAUCAGAAAGUGAGGAACUAAAUAAUAAUAUAAACAUGGUUUUUAAGCGCCACCUGUUGUUCAGGAGCCGGGGUAAAGAGAAUAACCAAUUCAUAGAAUGGCAAUUAACGACGGAGAGAGUAUAGAUACCUUAACACCUGCUUCAUUGCAGACAUUGCAAGAAGGGACAUCAUUGCUGCGGAACCAACUUCGAAGAUCAAGGAAAGAUCUUACGCCAAGACCAAUUUUCCCACUAGAGGUGUACGAUAGCCAUCGGUCUUGUAUGAGAUCAUUGAGAGUUUUCUCCUUUUGAGACAUUGUAAAGUUCCUAAAUGCAGGAGGAAUGCGAGAUUGACUAUCCUGUGAACUCUGCCCAGCAGGAACCUGAAAGUUUGAAACCAGAUCCAUUGAAUUCAAGGAGAAUGGAACAAAAAUACUCCAACACAAAAUGAACUAACAGAAAGAACUAUAUAACAAGCAAUUAGGAUAAGCUACAAAGUGAUUUGUUGUCAACAUGAAACUAGAUAACUCCUGUAGGACCAUACUAUAACAAGAAAAAGCUAGAGGGUUUAACAUGUAAAUUGUGAGAAAGGCUUUAGUGGCAAGUUAAACAGCUGCCGAUAAACCAAAUAGAAAAAGAAAAAUAGUAGAAAACCAUAUGGUGUGCUUAAGUGGUACGUCACAAGGAUGACAAAACAAAUUGUCAAUAUGGAACUUGCAGACUUUGAAGUGUCUUAGAUUACAAAUGUUUCCUUUCGUUUGAGGAUUAGCAUUCAGCUGAGAUAUCAGUUGCAUAUUACCAAGACAAGCUUUCGUUCCCAUGCAAAUAUCGAAAUCACCUCAAAGAUCUUUUCCCUGAAUAUAAGGUUGUGACUUUCUUCCUAAUUCUAGUGUGAUCGAACAGCUUGUCAAUGAUAAAUCAUAGCCCAUAGAUGGUCACCAUAGAAGAUUAGCAGCUAAACCCAUAGUCCUGUAUAAAAAGAUACAAGCUAUCCUUUGUAAACAAAUUUCCUACCAGCUCUCAACCUUAUGUCAAUGCAUCAAAGUUUGAUAUUCUUAAUAGGAUUCAACAACUUUUCACUCAAUCAUUGCAGGGUUUGGCAUGGAUUGCACAAUGCUGUGUGUAAUGCCACCAGGCAUCCACAGAGGAUGCACAGUCCAAAUCUACAUCUUCCACCUGCAAAACUUUCUUAGUGGAUUUGAUCUUUUGUAGGAUUUGACUCAAAGAUGAGAGCUCAAAGAAAGGUGCUUAAAGAAGAGAAGGAGGGGGGGGGNGGGCGGGGGCGGUUUCUCCUAGUCGAAUUGGUAACCAGACAAUUAUUAUCAUACCAUUUUUAGUUAUCCCUCCCUUGCGUUGUUAUGUAUACUGAACCAUAUUGAAUCCAACUCUAUCUAAACAGGACCUUCGAACACCCUUAUAAGUCUCUGCAUUUUGGGUAUCCCGACCUUUUAUCUCUCACUAUAUUGCACUCCUAACUAUUUUCACUAUACAAUAAUAAUCAGAUGCAGUAGGGAACAACACCAGAUCCAAAGCCAUAACAAAGUGAGUAGAAGAAACUACUUGGCCAUUACCUAUAUCAAACUGACCUAGACACCAGAUAUUCGUUCCAUUUUUGGUAUACACAUAUGUUAUGUAUAUCACUGGAACAAUUGCAGAAAAGGUAAAGUCUGCAAAGAAACUGCACCAACAGGAAUAAGGAAAUAAAUUCAGCAAAUCUAAACCUCAAUCCGCCUUACUUGUCAAAUACUUUGUAAAAAAAAAGCAAAAAAGGGAGGAAAAAAAAAGCACCCAAAAUUGCAGAGCUUAGUAGGUAUACAGAAAAAGUAAAAUUAUUUAUAGGUAAGGUAUAGGAAAGCAUCUUUCUAGAAGAGGAACUUCAAUCACUAACCUGAUUCUCAAGCCGGAUGUUAAGAGCCUCAAUAUUGGUUACGCAGCCCUCAGUUCCAGCAUCCUGAAUUAUCGCUUCUAUCUGAAACAAAUAAUGGGUAUUUCGAGAUAUUAGAAACACUGGUUUCCUAAUGAUUAAAGUCAAAUAUUAAGCAGAGAUUCAAGUGCAAUCAUUUGAAGCGAUAGUCAAAAGACAACUGAAACAUACAAGCAUACAAAAUGAAAGUAUUAAUCAAGUCAUUUCAGGAGAAGCCAUGAGACAUAAUCAGGUACUGUUAACAUUAUGCUAGCAAAUAUUCAGGUUUCUUUACUAAUUAUUUGAUUAAAAGAGGCCAUUAGUGAAGUUAACGUUUUUUUUUCUUUUCUUUUGGGUUGAAAUAAAUAGGAUAAAAACACAGGCUCGCCGAUAAAGCUGUAAACAACAAUAGAUAAACCUUCGGAAAAUAUUGAUUAUGAAAAAAUCCACCAAAUAAUUCAUAUAUAUGUUACCGAACAAAAGCUAAUACAUAAAAUGGAGUACGUAAUGUACCACAAGGCAAGGAAUUCAGGUUUAAAUACAAGCAUAAAGUAAUUUUUGAGCCCUAAACUCAGGUAACAAACAAUGAUAAUUUUAACAUUUAAAAUUUUAGACAAGCAAGUGAAAAAGAAGCAUAGAGAGAGGAGAGGAAGUUAAAAGGUGAAAGUAAACAAUCUACGAGUGAUCUCUGCUGGUACCUGGAUAGCUUUGGAUCAGACAAAACAUCCUUCAUGGUAUAAGCAGUGUUCUCGUUUUACAAAUAUUAAGUGGUAAUCAACAACACAAAUGAAAUCACUAUGGUGGUAGUCAAGAGAAAGAACUGAUCAGAGGUCCUCUACCAUGUCAAACAAUAUACGCUCUCCAACAAGAUGGGCCAAAAGCCUCUUUUUCCUAAUUCUUUUUCAAGUCAAAGAGUUUAGGUUUCUUUGUAAGAUUUACGUCUUUGUUAGAUUUUGGUCUAUGAAAAAUGCAUUUGAAUAAUUAAAUUGGAUAACAUAAAGGUUCAUUUUAUGAAAUUUUGCUUUUCAUAAUUUUACUGUUUACUUCACUACAUUCCAUAGGUGUAAAGAGAAACAGACAAAUUCCUGAAACUGUGUAUCCAUUUUGUAUCCAAUAUAGUUAUGGCUCAAGCAUUUGCACAAGAGAAUACGGUUAAAAUGAGAAUUAAAUUUGAGACAUAUUUCUUUGUUGAUCACUAAAUCUAAAUCUCACUAAAUGUGGAAAAAUUCACAUGGAAUCCUUCUCAUAUGGACGGCACAAAUCCCAAGGAGAAAGCAUAUAGUUAGACUGGCAUUCCCAUCUCUCCAUUUGUACAAUUCUAACCUAUAUAAACCCUGAAAUAUUGGCCAAGAGGGUUCUGGAACCAAUCAGGAAACAGAAGUCAUAUAUUGAUUCUUGAGGAAUGAAUCACACUUUUCACCGCAUAGUUUCUUAUAGAAUAAACAACAAAGCAACAAAACAUGGUCAAGUUGUAUCUAUGAAUCUUUCACAAUUGUACUUUUGAAAAUCUCUUAGAGGGAGCUGCCAACAACAAGAAAAAGGUGAUUCUACACCAACAAAGUUCAUUCAAUAAAGACUAGCAAGCAUAAAAUCAUGCCCAUUUUGCAGCAACAGCUGUAGAUUACUACUAAAAUUCCAAGCAAACAAUGGCAUACCACACCCUUGUAGAAUGCAAUCUGCGGAACUGAAUACUUCGUCCCGAGCUUUGACUGCUCAUCAGCAACGUUAUUUAUCACCCCAUAGUAAACCUUCCCAUCAUACUGGUUUCUGCAUGCUCGCAACUCGAAUUGCACGUAAGCCAGCUCCUUAUUAAUUUUGAGAAGAACAUCGUUGAAUAGCUGCUUAUUAUUGACUGCAGCAUAUGAUGUGAGCAUCAGAGGUACCAAAGCAAAUCACCAUAUAUGUAUAUGCGAUUGUUUUUUCUUUUGAUAUUUUAAACUUAUAGAUGCUCAAUUAACUGUUGGAGACUUGAUUGAUCGUCCAUCAUGUGCUACCAACACCUCUAGACGAAAAUAGAGAAAACCGAAUGGUAAAAGAAAUAGAUGCAAAAAAAAUAGACCAAUAUUUACGUCGUUCGGCAACUGCCCACAUUCACGAGGAGAGUGAGAGAGAUAUUCCACUAUAUGAAAAAACAAAAGUACAAGUUUACACCUUAUGUUUUUUCCAAACCAUAAGCCAAGAGUCUUAUGGUGAAAUUCACCCUUCUCUUGCUCCAACAAAAACUCUUAAAGAAAUAACCGAGAAGAGCUUUUCAAAAGACUAAAUUAGAGAAGUAUAAAGUUUUUGACCAAAAUCCUUUAUGUUGUUGCUUUGGAUAGCCAAACCACUUAAGUAAUUGGUAGAGCACCUCCACGCUGCUGCUGAUCUCAAACUUGAUGCCGCACGCAAGCCACUGAACACUUCUCUUUUCUACCAAACACUCUUAUGUCUGUUCGUCCGGGCUAACAUCACCUUAAUUUAUCAGCCUCUACUAAUUAGCUUAGUCAUGAUGUAAGUUACAUUAUCCUUUACAUUAUCCUUUGCAGAAACCUUCAUAAGCUGAAUUUCUCCAUCAUUCUUCUCAAUGAGCUCCCGUAAUUUGUAAUACAUGGCGUCUAUGUGUUUUGUCCUCAAAUGGUAAACCGAAUUUUUUUGUGAGACAUAUAACAUUGACUAUCACAACAGAUGAUUACCUCAUCCUGUAUGAUCCCGAGUUUCUAACCAAAGCUCUAAGCUAAACUGCUUGCUUAGCCGCUUCAAUCGUCGCCAUAUACUCCGCUUCUACAGUUGACAAGGCUACAAUGUAUUUUAACGUAGAUUUCCAACUGAUUGGUUCGUCGCCAGCAAAAAUUUGUAAACUGUAAUAGACUUACACUUAUUCAAAUCACUAGUAUUCAAAAUCUACAAACUCCUUCAUUUUACCGUUACCGGAAUCUUUCGAGUAGAGAAUACCCAUAUCCACUAUGCCCUUCAGGUACCGUAGAAUUCACUUCACAGCCUCCUAUUCUUGUUUUUCUAGAUUUGACAUAUAUCGACUAACAACACUAAAUGCAUAAGAAAUAUGAAACCUAAUACAAAUCAUAGCAUACAUCAAGCAACCGACUGCACUAGCAUACAAUAACCUUUGACCUAGAAUUAAUCUCCUUAUCCGUCUUAGGACACAUCUUCUUAGAAAGUUUGAAGUGUUGGGCCGACAUAUUAAAUUGUUUUAGAAUAGCCUGUAUAUAUGUCUUUUGUGAUAGCCACAGCUUAUCCUGUAUGCGGUGUCGCCUGAUCUCCAUAUUUAGAAUUUUUCUAGCACUUCCUAGAUCCUUCAUAUCAAAUUCCCAACACAACUAAUCAUCACUACACUUCUUCUGAAUUCUUAGCCCGGUAUCAGCAUAUCAUCUACGCGUAAGUAGAAUAAACGAACCAUCUUCAAGCCUUCGAUAAUAAACACAAGUGUCGUAUAAACUAAUGCCAUAACCAUGCUCGAUCAUAAAUCCGUCAAACCAUCAGUACCAUUGCCUCGGUGCCUGCUUUAAUCUGUAGAGGGAUCUUUGCCUUAGUGCAUGCUUUAACCAGUAGAGUGAUCUUUGCCUCGGUGCUUGCUUUAACCCGUAGAGAAAUCUUUUCAAUUUGCACACCAGACUCUCCAUCGUCGGCUGAAUAAAGCCUUAAAACUACUCUAUGUAAAUUUUGUCUACUAGAGCCCCAUGAAGAAACGUGGUCCAAAAGUCAAGUUGCUGAAGCUCCAUAUCAAACAUAGCCAACAUAGCUAGAAGUAUCCUAAUCGACGCGUGCUUCACCACUGGCGGAGACACCUCCUUGAAGUCGACUCCCUUUAUCUGCGCAUAGCCCUUGGCUACUAACCACGCCUUAAUUUUUUAAGGUUUAGAAAAGUUCGUUAUGAUAGUUUGUUUGAGCUUUUCUCUGAAGAAGAGAAAUAAGAUGAAAAAGAGUGGUAAAAUAUAAAAGAAGUCAAGAUAGAGAAUAUUGAGUGGUGACUUCUUUUGUUUGGUUCACGUGCACUCGGUUCAUAGAGUUUAUAAACGAAUUGAUUCCUAUUCCUAUUGGUGGAUAUUGUAGCGAUACAGUGAGUCACGUUGAGUUCCGAGUAGGACUUCAAAUCAUACUUGACUUUGACCAGGCCCUACUACAUUAUAUAUAUCUGUAUGUGGUACCGGCCAGAGCUAAUUAGUAGAGGCUAAUAAAUUAAGGUGAUGUUUUUUUUUUUUGAGAGAUAGGUAGCAUGCUACCUGCUUCGUUUAUUUCAUUUAGAAAUAAACUUAGCUGAAAAUGUGAAUCAACUAGGAUUCAAAUUUGGGUCUCGGAUACCAACCACCAAGCCCUUUGCCACUUGCUCUAGGGACGGUCGGUAAAUUAAGGUGAUGUUAGCCCGGUCCUGAGAGUAUACAACAGCAAAGAGGAGUGGUGUUCGGCAGCUUGCAUGCGAUGUCAAGUGAGGUCGGCAGUAACGCAAAGGUUCUCGACUAAUUGCUUGAGCGGUUUGGCUUUACCGAAGCAACAAUACAAAGAAUUAUGGUAAAAAAUUUGAUGCUUCUCUAAUUUAGUCUUCUUUAAUUAAGGUUUCUCGAAAAACUCUUUCUGGUUAUUUUUUUGAAGUUUUUUGUUGGAAAGAGAGAAGGAUGGGUUUUAGAAUAAGGCUCUUGGUUUUUUGUUUGGAGAAGACAUAAGGUGCAAGCUUGUAUUUUUAUUUCCUCAUAUAGUGGAACACAUUCCUCUCACUCUCUCCAUGCUGAAUCACAUAAACAUCGGUCUGUUUUUUGCAUUUAUUUCUUUUACGAUUCAUUUUUCUCUAUUUUCAUGCAUCUGUGUUGGUAGCGCAUUACGAACGAUCAAUCUAAGUCCCCACCAUUAACCUUAUCUUUAUCUAUAGGAUCCACAACUAUAAAUUCAUGUCUAAUGAUUAGAACUUGGCUUAUAGAAGGAAUAAAUUCAACAUAAUCUUGCCACUAGCAGAAUCUUACGUUCAUAGUAUCUGCAACUGCAGAAGCUUAAAUGCAUAUGAUUUGCCUAAUCUAACAUUAGAAACCAUACACCUCUGCAUAAAUCAACAAAAUUACCUGGGUUUUUUCCGCUGAUGCCCAUGAACAUCUCAUGGAACUCCUCCUCCAUUAACGGCCCACGGCUCAACAAGGCUUGUAUAAGGGUAUGGUGCCUCCAAGUUAAAGGCGCCAUUUUCACCUCCCAGGAGAUCUACCAAAACCCUAAACUUCCAUUGAGCUCCAAGGGGGAACUCUUUGAAACCCUAAUUUUUACCUGAAUAAAGGAUCGGAAACGAACCCUAAGGUCGGAAGCGAAAAACCCUCGAUCGGCUUCGGAGAGAGCGCGCGCGCUUCUCCUCUUUUGUGGCGGGAGAAGCAGAAUCCGAGCUCGAGAAUCGAAGCGAGGGUUUUUGUAUCGGCGGGGUUUUAUCUUUUUAUCGGAUCCAAUUUGGGUUCGCACUCGUAAUUCGAAACGGACUUGGUAAGGUGCGGUGAGUCGGAUUCGUCUGGACCCGGUUAACGUGAAUGGAUCGGAUUAUUAAAUUUUUAACUAUUGACAUUAACUCAAGUUUUUAAGAGGGAUUUUUUUCACAAAAUAAUUUUCUAAAAUAUUAAUAUUUGCAAAAUAUUUUUUUCAAAAUUUUAUUUCGAAAACUAACUCUUCUUUCUCCACGUGAGCGUCACGCUGGGAUUUCUUUCACCUCCUUCAAUAAGGCAGCGAACAAUUCACUAUCUUCAUAAUAUAAUUAUUGAAGAUGAUUAAUAAUUCACUACCUUAGUGAAGGCGGUGACUCCACCUUGAUAAAUUUUCUAAGUUCUUGUAAUAUAUAAAGUGGAGGAGGUAAACCAUUUACCGUCUUUGUAAUAUAUUAAGUGAAGACGGUGAAUGGCUCACCGCCUUUAGUGCCCUAUAGGGGUGUAAUGUGGGCCGUGCCGGGCCGGCACGGCCCCCGGACCGAACCGGGCUGGAAGAUGGCGCGGCCCGCCCGUGCUAAAUCCGGCCGGGCCCGUGCGGGCCGCGAACCCCUGACCAUCCAGCCCAGCAGCCCCUGCCGGAAGGCACGGGCCUGUGCCGGCCGGGCCGUGCCUGCCUGGCCGUCGCGGCCGGCUCUUUUUUUUAUUUUUUAAUGUAAUCAUAUAAUUUUAAAAAAUAUGAACAAUAAAUUACAUUAUAUAAAACGAUAUUUGAUUAAAAAAAUUUAAAAUUUUUAAAAUACUUACAAAAAAAUAAUAUUUAAAUUUAUUUAAUAUAUGUUUGUAUUCUUUUUUUGAAAAAAAAUAAAGUUGGAAGGUUUUGGUCGCAAUGACCAAAAUUGGCUUUGUCUCAUGAUCAAUAUUACUCCUCCAAGGUCUGCCUAGGCAACCUUGGAGGACUAUUCCUUGGAGGAGGGCCAAGCCCUCCACCGAGGAGCAAACCCCAGGCCCGAAGGCAACUUUGCCUUGGGCCUGGGUUCCGGCCGCUGCUGGCCCGGCUGGCACGCCCAAGCGGCCGUGCCGUGCCUGGGCCAUGGCCCUCUCUGGCUCCUCGGCCCGGCACGGCCCAGGCCCGUUUCGGGCCGUGCCGUGCCGGGCCGUCGGGCUCCAAAUGUGAGGCCCAGCACGGCCCGAGGUGCCUGCCGGGCCCGGCCCGGCCCGGGUGCUACAGUGGCCGUGCCGGGCCACGGCCCGGCCCGCAGCCGUGCCGGGCCGGGCGGCCCACGUGCCGCCCGGCCCGUUUUACACCCCUAGUGCCCUACAACUUCAUUCUGAUUUUCUCUCGAUUUUCUCUAAGUCCUCGAGGCUGGUUUUGAAGCACAGAUAAGACGCUGGACAAUUCACUAUUUUUAUAAAGGCAGUGAACGGCUCACCGUCUUUAUGAAGACGGUGAGCCGUUCACCGUCUUCAUUACAAAUCGAUAACAACAAUUUGUACAAGUUUGGAGUAUUUUUUUUUUUUUGAGAGAGAUAGGUACCACGCUACCCGCUUCGUUUAUUUCAUUUAGAAAUAAACUUAGCUAGAAAUGUGAAUCAACUGGAAUUCGAACUUGGGUCUCGAGUACCAACCACCAAGCCCUUUGCCACUUGCUCUAGGGACGGUCAGUUGGAGCAAAAAAUUUUACGAGAACAAAAACUUUAACAACAAAAACAACCAAACAAGAAGAACAACAAGAUAUAUUAGAAAAUUUCGAAAGGGUGUAGCGUCGCACUAAAUGCGGUGAAUGGUUUACUGCCUGUUGAUGCCAAAAUUAAAAUUAACAUGCCGACCUAGCCCACGUAUGAGCUGAAGAAAUAAGGACACGUGGUACACUAGGAGUCGGCAAUAAGGCGCUUGAAGGUCAAAAGCGUUUAGACGGGAACGGUUGAGAAGUGGGGCGUAACUUCCAUGUGAAGUGGGGCAUAACUUUCAUGUGAAGUGGGACGUAACUUCCAUGAGAAAUGGGGCAUAACUUCCACGAUCAUGGUUACAACCACUUCCCCAACCAACCAAAAAUGUGGGCUGAGAAGACAUCACUAUAAAUAGUAAAGACAUCACUAUAAAUAGUAACUUCAAAGCCUGUAAUAAAGGUCUUUUCCCCUGAGAACAAAAGACCACCCUUAUUUCCUCUGCAUUUUAUCGCUUUUCUAUGAGUAGUCUAAAUGUAAUCUUUUUCUUUUCCGCAUUUACUGCUUUCCUAGGAGUAAUUCGCUAAGUAGAACCCUGAAGUCUGUUUGCCUCACGGGUAUCACUCCGUUGUAGACUAUAUUUGCAAAGUCUGUCUGCACCAUGGGCAUCACUCUAUUGUAAACUAUAUUUGCAGAGUCUAUAUGCCCUUUGGACACACUCUGUUUAAUAUAUAUAUAUAUAUAUAUAUAUAUAUAUAUAUAUAUAGCUUCGCUCUUUUAGCCGACCAGUUACUGUGUACUUCUUCUAUUCGGCUCUUCUGCCGACAUUGAUCCCUGCACAGUUCAUACAUUCGGCUUAUCCAGCCGAACCGAUUUUACGGUAAAGGUUUUCGAACCCGGUUGAUCCGAUCCCUCAUCAGCCGAAUCGCUUGAUCUGUCGAAGGGCGCACACUUCGAGGGUCAUCGUUCGCAGUCGUUCCACACCCCGACGCGCUCCCCGAGGAAGGUAUUUGACCGGGUCAAAGGUCGGAAAAUUCGGCUACCAACAAUUUUUUGGCACGCCCGGUGGGACAACAUUUUUAGGUAAAUUUAUAUUUUAUAUAAAUUAUGGCUGAUGAUAAUGCCAUGAAUUUGCGCAAUAGGGUUGUUCCUAGAAAUUCUGAGAGUGAUCAACCUAGUGAUUCAAACAAUGCUGGCGAAUGUCAAGCAGUUUUGCCAGUUGAAGGAGAAACUAGUGGACAGUCGGCUCAUCAAGAGCCGAGUCUAACUCAGGCGCUCGGCCAGAUGAGCCAAGUCCUGCAAACUUUAGAUUAAAAUAUCCAUCAAAGUACCGCUCGAUUAGACGCGGUGCUGGCUGCCAUCACGGCUUAUAAUAAAAAUAUUGCACGAAUGGGGCAAUUAUUGACUCGAAAUGAACAACCAAUGACAGGCUUACAAGGGUCUAUGAUGACACCGGUGUUGCAAAAUCCUGCAACACCGGUAAAUGGACAGCCCCAAUACCAUGGGGCACCAUUCCAAGCGGCUUACAGGCCAGCCGUCGUCAAUACCGGUCAACAGCUGGAAAUUGCAUGGGGAUUGCCACUACCCCCGCAGAUGACAACAUACUAGCCCCAAAAUAUAGGGGCUAGAGCUGGGGGGCAGGUUCCAAAUAUUCAAGAAGCAAAUCCCAUAGUACAAAACUUCGGACCAUUACAAGGACCGAAUGUAGCACAAGCACAAGUUCCUUUGCAGGAAAACAAUGAUGAAAUAUAUGCGCAAAUCGAAGAAGCCAUCCGAAAUACUGUUGAAAUAGGUGCAAGGCCGGCAAUGCGGCCUAUGUUUAGAUCACCUUAUCCUACAAAUAUAGACAUAGAGCAUCCAUACCCGGCAAACUAGAAAAUACCGAAGUUUGAUAAAUUUUUUGGGGAUGAGACCGAAAACACGGUUGAACAUGUGACGCGGUUCACGGCACAGUGCAGGGAAGCCGCGACAGAUCCAUUUUUAAAAUUAAGAUUGUUUAACACGUCGUUAACUAAAACGGCGUUUACUUGGUAUACAAGUUUAUCAACCAAUUCCGUCCAAGAUUGGGACAAAUUGGAAAGAAAAUUUCAUGAGCGAUUCUAUAGGUCGGAGCCACAAUUAUCGGUUGUCGACUUGGCUUUACAACGACAAAUGUCAGAUGAAACGGUUGAAGAGUAUUUGAACCGUUUCAAAAUAGCCAAAACCCGGUGCUUUAUGAGAAUGCUGGAAUCAGAGUUCGCCAAAAUUGCGUUAAAUAGUCUGCAUUUUAAGAUAAAAGACUAUUUUGAAGAUAAGUAUUUUUCUAACCUAUUUGAUCUAGGUAUUCGAGUUGCCCAAUAUGAGCAAUUUCGGAAGGAAAGUGAGGACAAUCGGCUGCAAUGGAGUCGAUAUAAAAAGCAAAGCAAAGGCAAAGAGAACUUCUUGAUAGAAGAACAGUCGGUUCAAAAAGAGCCGAGCCAAUCAAGUGAAAGUGAAGAAUCGGCUGAUGAAGCCAAGGUAUAUGCGGCUGGUAAAGAGCCAAUUUCUUCAAGAAGAAAUCUUGAUAGAAGAACAUUCGGUUCAAAAAGAGCCGAACCAAUCAAGUAAAGUAAAGAAUCGGCUGAUGAAGCUGAGGUAUAUACGGCUGGGACGAUAAAGAGCCGUUUUCUUAAAGCCGACCAGGACCAGCAAAACCAAAGCUUGGGUCUCAGCUGUGUCAUUUGAGCAGUCAAUUUGGCACCAAUAGUUAUCCGAAUGUUCAUUCGAAAGGCUAUUGGGGUGGCAUUGUUGAUGCCAAUAUUGAAAUUAACAUGCCGACCUAGCUCACGUAUGAGCCGAAGAAAUAAGGAUACGUGGUACACCAGGAGUCGGCAAUAAGGCGCCUGAAGGCCAAGAGUGUUUAGGCGGGAACGGUUGAGAAGUGGGGCGUAACUUCCAUGUGAAGUGGGGCAUAACUUCCAUGUGAAGUGGGACGUAACUUUCAUGAGAAGUGGGGCAUAACUUCCACGAUCAUGGUUACAACCACUCCCCCAACCAACCAAAAAUGUGGGCUGAGAAGAUAUCACUAUAAAUAGUAACUUCAAAGCCUGUAAUAAAGGUCUUUUUCCCUGGGAAUAAAAGACCACCCUUAUUUCCUCUGUAUUUUAUCGCUUUUCUAGGAGUAGUCUAAAUAUAAUCUUUUUCUUUUCCGCAUUUACUGCUUUUCUAGGAGUAGUUCACUAAGUAGAACCCUGGAGUCUGUCUGCCCCACGGGCAUCACUCCGUUGUAGACUAUAUUUGCAGAGUCUGUCUGCACUAUAGGCAUCACUCUGUUGUAAACUAUAUUUGCAGAGUCUGUAUGCCCUUUGGGCACACUCUAUUUAAUUAAUAUAUAAAUAUAUAUAUACAUAUACAUAUAUGUAUAUAUAUACAUAUAUGUAUAUCAAUAGUAUAUUAUGCUAUAUCAUGUAAACUGUAUAACAAUAUAAUAUCUAUAAUAUAUAUAAUUAAUAUAAUAAUAUAGAAUACGCUAAUAUAACUAUUAAUAGGGCACUAAGUCAUUGGCUUGCUAACCAAGUUUUGGCCAUUGAUAAGAGAUGUAUGGUUAAGAGAUAUGGGCCCCUAGGUGAUGGGUGGUUGGGUUGAAUCUAUGAUCUAAACGAGUGAAAAUAGUCUCAAAUAGUAAGCCACGGUGGAAAACUGUAGCACCAAGUGUUUCGUAGCUAUUAAAUCAGCAUGCGUUGGGAGUAGAUGGACUCUAUAUAUACUAUCUAUUAAUAUAUAAUUAUAUACAUCUUAUAUAUAUGUAUAUAUAAUGAUCUAAUGUAUAUAUAUAUUAUAUUAGAUAAUAUAUAUAUACAUCUAUGAAUAUUGUAUAAUGUAACAUAUAUAGUUAUAAACAUGUAUAUGUAUACAUAUAGUAUAUAGUUAUACACAUUAUAUGUAUAUCUAAUAUACCAUAUAAUAUAUAUAUUACUAUAUAUACAUAUAUACAUAUAUGGUUUAUAUUGUAUAAUAUACUAGAUUAACUAUUAAAUAUAUACAAUAUACAUAUAUGUAUAUAUAUAAUAUAUAAACAUAUACUGUAUAUAUAUACCAUAUAUACAAUAUAUAUUAUUAAUUAAUACCAUAUAACUAUAUAUAUAUAUUGUCUAUAUAUACUACAUAGAUGUAAUAUAUGUAUAUAUAUAGAAUUGUAAUAUAGGACAGAUGUAUAUAGUAUAUAGUAUAUAUAUAAUACACUAUAAUAUUAUAUAUGUUAUGUAUAUAACAUCAUAUAUAUAUUUAUUGUUAUAUAUACAAUAUAUAUACAUCUAUAUAUAUACAGAUGUAUAAGAUAUGUAUUUUUUAAUUUAAUAGAUAUAUAUAUGUAAUGUUAUAUAUAAAUGUAUAUAUAUUAUUAUGUCUAAUAUAUAUAAUUGUAUAUACAUUAACACUAUAUUAUCUAUGUAUAUUUAUCAUAUAUAUAUAUAUAUAUAUGUACAGAUGUAUUAUUAUAUUAUGUAUUAAUAUAUCACAUAGAUAUAUAUACUUAUGUAUGUAUAUAUUCAACAGACUGUCAUAAUUAUAUGAUGGUAUGUAUACAGUACACACAUUAAUAUUAUGAUAAUAGCACUGCCAUACAUUAUAUAAUACUAUUAUAUGCCUGCUAUGUAUGUACUAUAAUACACAUUUAUAUAACUAUAUUUAUAUCUAAUGUCUACAAAUAUAUAUUAUAUCUAUGUAAUUAAUAACAGACAUACAUAAUAUAUAUAUAUAUCCUGUAUUAUACUACCAUACAUAUAUAUAUAUAUAUAUAUACAUAUAUACAUAUAUGUAUAUAUAUAUACAUAUAUAUAUAUACAUAUAUAUACAUAUAUAUAUAUACAUAUAUAUACAUAUAGGCAUUCGGCUUCUUCAGCCGAUCAGUUACUGUGUACUUCUUCUAUUCGGCUCUUCUGCCAACAUUGAUCCCUGCACAGUUCAUACAUUCAGCUCAUCCAGCCGAACCGAUUCUACGAUAAAGAUUUUCGAAUCCGGCUGAUCCGAUCCCUUAUCAGCAGAAUCACUUGAUCUGUCGAAGGGCGCACACUUCGAGGGUCAUCGUUCGCAGCCGUUCCUCACCCUAACGCGCUCCCCGAGGAAGAUAUUUGACCGGGUCAAGGGUCGGAAAAUUUGGCUACCAACACUGCCUUAGUGAAUGUGGUGAAGUAUUUACCGGCUUCAUUGGACUUUACUAGAUAUAUUAGAAAGAUGGUGAAGGCGAUGAACGAUUCAUCAUCUUCACAAGAAUUAUUCUACUUGGCGCCUACGUGGCGAAAGGAUGGUUAAUUAGUUUUACAAAUAUAAAUUUUAGAGAGUUAUUUUGCAAAUUUUAAAUUUUAAGAGGAUUAUUUUAUAAAAAAAUCCUUUUAAGGGCGUGUAUGGUUAACGGUUUUCUUUUUUAAAAAAAGAUUGGCAAUAAAAAGUUGGAAUUAUAAAAUUUUAUAUUUAUUUUUAUCACAAAAUUUAAUAUAACAGGAAUUAAAAAUUUCUGUAUAAUUUUAUAAUCUCUUGAAACAUGAGAUUCAAACAUCCAACUCCUCCUCCCUAGGAGAAUUCUUUUCCUAAAAAAUUUGAGUUAAAAGGAAUAAAAUAUUCUUGUUCACAUUUUAUAUCCAUUUCAAUUUUUAAAUUAAGUACGGAAAUUAAAUAAAAUUAUGAAUCUCCUAAAUUUAGGAAUAUUUAAAUAGAUUUUAUCCUCAAAUCUUUAUGAUUUUUAUAUGAUUAAUUUAGUGUAACAUGACAUAUACAUAUACUAUGAGUUUCUAUAAAAAAUAAAGUAUUGUAAUAAUUGUAUUAAUAUAACUGAAUAAAUUAGUGUCUGAGUUAAAUGUAGAAAUAACUAUUUCCGAUAUGUGCCAUGCAAAAAUAUUUUUACAAAAUAGAAAUUUUAUCAUGAGAAUAAAUUUUAAAAAGUUAAUUGUCAGCUAAAAUUUUAAUUUAUGUGAACUAAACGGCCCAAAAGUUUUUUUUUGUCCCCGAGAAAAAAGUCCAUACAUAAAUUUACUAGAGCUUAAUCCGUUAUGAAAUAGUUGUAAAGGGCUCUGUGGUUGAUACCCGAGGUUCCAAGUGUGAAUCCUAAUUGAUUCCCAUUUCUAUCUAAACUAGUGUAGAGACCCACGCGAUGCAGCGGGUAGAUAAUAAAAAUAAAUUUUUAAUAUUUUAAUAAAUUUUAUAUUUGCAGCUUAUAGGAAGCUAUAUCAUGUUAAGCACAGUCAAUUUGCAUGACUAAAUUCAGUUGUUAAAAAAAUAAAAUAAUAGCUAGAAGUAUAUGAAAUACAUAAAUAAUAACUUAACGUAUCUGGCUUAAGAAAAUUUUGGUUGGCAUUUCAGGCUCCAAUCUCCGCAUCAUACUUUUUAAUCUACGAAAGAAAUUUUGCCCACAACAGUGUCUACUUAAAAAAAUGAUCAUAAUAUAAAAAUAAAACAAAAAACAUCAAUCUUAAAAAAAUUAAUAUUUUUUUGGAGCACUUCUCUUACUCAUCCAAAUCUCAUACAUCUUCUUAAUCUUCAGCUGGUAGUUGCUCCGCGUGCCGAGUCAUUUCUGGAUUUCUAUUGUAACCUAUGAACAAACACCUUAUUUGCAUCACCAAACUGCGAUAUUUAAACCGAUACAGCCUUGCCAUCACAUCAACCUUAGAAAUCCUUAUUCUUAAACAAUUUGAUUUAUCAAGAAGUUCCUGCGAUUCUUGAGAAGCGAGCUCCCGCGCAACGUUGCCGCCAAGAGAAGGCUAGGACGACGCUCCCCUUGGCCUAGUUGCGGGCGCGUGCGAGCCGUACGAGGAGGCAGCCGAGGCGGCGGCGGUUCACGGCGAGCGACGGCUCCGGUGCAGACCAGCCCAGCGAGCACUUAUAUGGGCCGCGGCUGGACUUUACAGGACGAUAUUUUUUGAAGAAGACAACGUUCUUCGCAUGUUCUUCUUAUUUAUCAUCCUCAUAAUUUUUGUUAACACAAUGAGAUAGAGAGAAGGAGAUGAGUGUGGGGUGAGAGAUUAGAUGAUAAUGUUUCUUUUUGCAUGAAAAAUAACAUGUCAUGCAAGAAAGAGGGGGUGAGGGGAUUAAUGGUGGAGGGGAGUAGAUUGGUGUUACAAAGCUCACUAAUUGAUGAAAUAUAAUGCAUGUAAUUAAAUGUGGAAAGGUGAAGGGUUGAGCAUUUAGAAGUGGAGAUUAAUGGUGGAGGGGAAUGGAUUGGAAUUACAAAGCUCACUAAUUGAUAGAAUAUGAUGCAUGCAAUUAAAUGUGGAGAGAUGAAGGGUUUAGCAUAGCAUUUAGAAGUGAGGAUUAAUAGUGGAGGGGAGUGGAUUGGAGUUACAAAGCUCACUAAUUGGUGAAAUAUAAUGCAUGUAAUUAAA